GAUGAACGCUGGCGGCGUGCCUAAUACAUGCAAGUCGAGCGAACAGAUGAGGAGCUUGCUCCUCUGACGUUAGCGGCGGGCGGGUGAGUAACACGUGGAUAACCUACCUAUAAGACUGGGAUAACUUCGGGAAACCGGAGCUAAUACCGGAUAAUAUAUUGAACCGCAUGGUUCAAUAGUGAAAGACGGUUUUGCUGUCACUUAUAGAUGGAUCCGCGCCGCAUUAGCUAGUUGGUAAGGUAACGGCUUACCAAGGCAACGAUGCGUAGCCGACCUGAGAGGGUGAUCGGCCACACUGGAACUGAGACACGGUCCAGACUCCUACGGGAGGCAGCAGUAGGGAAUCUUCCGCAAUGGGCGAAAGCCUGACGGAGCAACGCCGCGUGAGUGAUGAAGGUCUUCGGAUCGUAAAACUCUGUUAUUAGGGAAGAACAAAUGUGUAAGUAACUAUGCACGUCUUGACGGUACCUAAUCAGAAAGCCACGGCUAACUACGU
rnacentral:rRNA from 1 species